UACGUAGGCAGCGAGCGUUGUUCGGAAUUACUGGGCGUAAAGAGUGUGUAGGCGGUGCUCUAAGUUCGGUGUGAAAUCUCCUGGCUUAACUGGGAGGGUGCGCCGAAAACUGGAGUGCUCAAGCGUGGGAGAGGAAAGCGGAAUUCCUGGUGUAGCGGUGAAAUGCGUAGAUAUCAGGAGGAACACCUGCGGUGUAGACGGCUUUCUGGACCAUUGCUGACGCUGAGACACGAAAGCGUGGGUAGCAAACAGG
rnacentral:rRNA from 1 species